rnacentral:rRNA from 1 species
UGGGGAAUAUUGGACAAUGGGCGCAAGCCUGAUCCAGCCAUGCCGCGUGAGUGAUGAAGGCCCUAGGGUUGUAAAGCUCUUUCACCGGUGAAGAUAAUUACGGUAACCGGAGAAGAAGCCCCGGCUAACUUCGUGCCAGCAGCCGCGGUAAUACGAAGGGGGCUAGCGUUGUUCGGAUUUACUGGGCGUAAAGCGCACGUAGGCGGACUAUUAAGUCAGGGGUGAAAUCCCGGGGCUCAACCCCGGAACUGCCUUUGAUACUGGUAGUCUGGAGUUCGAGAGAGGUGAGUGGAAUUCCGAGUGUAGAGGUGAAAUUCGUAGAGAUUCGGAGGAACACCAGUGGCGAAGGCGGCUCACUGGCUCGAUACUGACGCUGGGGUGCGAAAGCGUGGGGAGCAAACAGG